CACAAGACUCUAUGACACACACAAGUCUAUUUAUGAUGUGAUUGAAUCACAGGGCUGAUCUGUGCACCAUGUGCAUUGAAAAACUACUUUUUGCAUCAAUUAUAGAAAUUAAUACAUAUGGACGAGAUCUAUGAAACAUUGAAGGAUGGUAUAUAGUAGGAAUGCAAUGGUGAAGUUGUGUGAAAAUGAAGUUAUUAAUAUCAAAGGUGGGUUUGUUGCCUAUCUCUCUCCAUCUCCUAAAAUCCCUUUUUCUCUUCCUAAUCUUAUUUCUUUGUAUUUUACACUUUUUUUUUUCAUUUUUUUCUUUGCUAUUGGAGAAUCAAGUUCAUAGCAUCAUCUAUAUGUAACUAUAUUCACUUCCUUUGCAAAUCAUAUUGCAUAAUUAGGAGAAUAUUAGGAGAGGAGGAACCUACAUGAAUGAUUGACAUCUCAUUGCAAGAUGUGUUUGCUUUCCAUUUUAUUUAGUUACUUCUUAAAUAAUUUUUUAAGCUCUUUUGUGUUGAUUUAGGCAUUAGUUUACUUCACUUUUGUUAUUUUGAAUUGGAUCAUUUUGAUGUUGUAUUUUUAAAUAUUACUUUACUAAACCCAAAUCCUCAAGUCAAAAUUCCCUCCAAAACAUGUGUUAAGGGGUGAAUUGUAGCUAUGGAAACAAUCAUACAUUUUCUACAAGUAAUUGAGUUUUUUA